UACGGGGGGGCGAAGCAGUUGUUCGGUGAAUUACUGGGCGUAAAGGGCUCGUAGGCGGCCAACUAAGUCGGAUGUGAAAUCCCCAGGCUCAACUUGGGAACUGCAUCCGAUACUGGAUGGCUUGAAUUCGGGAGAGGGAUGCAGAAUUCCAGGUGUAGCGGUGAAAUGCGUAGAUAUCUGGAGGAAUACCGGUGGCGAAGGCGGCAUCCUGGACCGACAUUGACGCUGAGGAGCGAAAGCUAGGGGAGCAAACGGGG
rnacentral:rRNA from 1 species